rnacentral:rRNA from 1 species
GAGGACCGGGACGGACGAACCUCCUGUGCACCGGUUGUGGCGCCAGCCGCACCGCCGGGUAGCAGCGUUCGGACGGGAUAAGCGCUGAAAGCAUCUAAGCGCGAAGCCCACCUCAAGAUGAGGUCUCAUUUUAGGGUCGUGUUAGACGAACACGUUGAUAGGGCGCAGGUGCAAGCGUGGCGACACGUUCAGCCGAGCGCUACUAAUAGCCCGAACACUUCACGAG